rnacentral:lncRNA from 1 species
UCUUUCUGAGCAGAUUUGCUUGAUGCUGUUGCUGUAGCUUUUUUCAUGCUGCUCCUCAAGAUUUCAGGGCCGCGUGCAGGAAGGGGGUUAUACCCUGGUGAGGGCACAGGCAUUGCUGCCAAGAGUCCAUUAUUGUGAGUGGAAGCACACAAGAAAACAGUCUGACAACAUGUGGAAAGAGAGUACCUCGUGCAGCUGUAUCCUUCCCCAUGUUGAGGACCCUUGGGAUUACCUCAGGGCAAAGAAGAAUAUAAAUUGAUCCACUGGUUUUCUGGGCUUGCUGAGGUGACUUAAUCAACAACCCUGUCUGGGCUGCGUGAAGAGAAAGUUUGUGGUAACUUUCUGUCGACGGUAGGAGGAGUCAUUUCUCCGUUACGGUGGUAAGUGGCUUCUCUCUGCAUUUACAUAAAAGAUAAUUUUGAUGAGCAGGCUAAUGAGAAGUUCUUGCACAUUGUUAAGCAUGAUAUGCUUUAGAAUGCAAAC